AACGAACGCUGGCGGCAGGCCUAACACAUGCAAGUCGAACGCUCCGCAAGGGGAGUGGCAGACGGGUGAGUAACGCGUGGGAACCUUCCCAGUGGUACGGAAUAGCCCAGGGAAACUUGGAGUAAUACCGUAUACGCCCGAAAGGGGAAAGAUUCAUCGCCAUUGGAUGGGCCCGCGUCUGAUUAGCUAGUUGGUGAGGUAAUGGCUCACCAAGGCGACGAUCAGUAGCUGGUCUGAGAGGAUGAUCAGCCACACUGGGACUGAGACACGGCCCAGACUCCUACGGGAGGCAGCAGUGGGGAAUAUUGGACAAUGGGCGCAAGCCUGAUCCAGCCAUGCCGCGUGAGUGACGAAGGUCUUCGGAUUGUAAAGCUCUUUUGGCGGGGACGAUAAUGACGGUACCGCAGAAUAAGCCCGCUAACUUCGUGCCAGCAGCCGCUGUAAU
rnacentral:rRNA from 1 species